rnacentral:lncRNA from 1 species
CUCUUACGCAUCCAGUGUGAAUUGUGUUGAAACAUGUUUUCGUGAUUUGGCUUCUCAAUCUUAGUCUUUGGUAAACCCACCUUUGCUUAACGUUAUCAUGUGAUGUGUGUGCAGUAAGUUCUAAUUCCAUCAUUUGGAUGACUAUGUAGACUUUGCAGGCAAAAAAAAUUUCAUUGCAAACCGGUAUCAAUACUUCCAUUGCAAUAGCUGGAGUUGCAAUCUACUCCAUCUUAAGGCCAAGAUGGAAGAAGAGAAACAGGUAAGUUCAACUAUAAGAAUCAGAUUUGUAUGCUGGUGCUAUCUAAUAGCACAUCAAAUUUGAUGCAUGUUGGAAGAUCACUAUUCUCCUAAUGUUCAAUCUACGACCUUUUGCUUGUGCAUUUGAUAUCCGAAUACUACUAUUUUUUUGGUAGCAAGUGAGAGCAACAGAAAGUAUGUAUUCUUCUAUUCUUAAUUAAUCUUUGGCUUCAAUUAAAUCUAUAGAUCUUAUUUCAAUUUUCCUUGUCUUUUCUAAGAUGAUGCAUCAGGAGAUAUGUUUGGUUUAUUUCAUUACGUUUUUAGUUAAUAAUUCUGUAGAGUCUUCAAUCAUCAACCACCAAGGCUUUACAGGCUCAGUUCACCAAAUCCCAAAUCAACACCAUCAAUCAAACAACCUAAGAACACUAACAAAAUCUGAAAAACCAGAAUUGCUGAAGCAAGAGAAUAUGUGAUGGUAAAUUUUCUCUUCACAAUCUGAUCAAUCUUUACAAGUGUAUAUAUAGGGUGUAGCUCUAACUAACUAACAAAAUUAAAGCUGUACAGGGAAAACAGAAAGAAUAAAAUGCUAACAAAUCUGCCAUGUCAGUAGCUAUACAAUAGAAAGGAAUCUAAAUUAUAUUCAAUACGCCUCCUCAAGAUGGAAGGUGAAGAUUAUGAACUCCCAUCUUGCUUAACAGUGCUCUGAACCUCAAUCCUCCAGUAGAUUUAGUUAACAUGUCUACAAGUUGAUCCUUAGUACUUAGAUGCAUAGUUCUGAUCUUACCCUCUUGUAUUUUCUCUCUGACCACGUGACAAUCUAGUUCGAUAUGUUUUGUUCUUUCAUGAUAAACUUGAUUUGCUGCAAUAUGUAUGGUUGGUUGAUUAUCACAAAAUAAUAAUGCUGGAUCCUUAUGUUUAAUCCCCAAAUCAGCAAGUAUGUAUUGCGGCCAUGUUAAUUCGCAUACUACUGAAGCCAUAGCUCUGUAUUCAACUUCUGUAGAGGACCUGGACACAGUGCUUUGCUUCUUUGAUCGCCAUGAAAUUAAUGAAUUUCCCAAAAAUAUACAAUACCCCGUGAUGGAUCUUCGGGUAUCUGAGCAUGCAGCCCAGUCUGCAUCACAGAACCCUUUAAGUUGCACCUCUGAAUCCUUUUCAAAGAACAAACCUUGUCCUGCAGUCCCCUUAAGAUAUCUUAGUACAUGCAAGGCUGCAUUAAGAUGUGGUUGUCUAGGUAAGUCAACAAACUGACUGAGGAUCUGAACCGGAUAAGUGAGAUCUGGUCUGGUGAUGGUAAGGUAGAGUAAUCUGCCUACAAGUCUUCUGUAGGUGCUGGGAUUAGUGAUCAGGUCACCAUCUGAUUUGGAAAGUUUCAAAUUUUGCUGUAAAGGUGUUUUGGCGGGUUUAGCACCCAAAUAUCCCACAUUUUCCAAGACUUCCAAAGCAUAUUUCCUUUGGCAAAUGGAGAUCCCAGUGUUAUUUCUAGCCACUUCAAGACCUAGGAAAUACUUCAAAGUUCCAAGGUCCUUUAGCUUAAAUUGUUGGUCCAAAACCUUCUUAAACUGAUCAAUGUACAUCACAUCAUUUCCAGCAAUGAUGAUGUCAUCAACAUAGACUAGUAAGAUGGUAGAUGAGCAACCAUUGAUUUUGGUAAAUAAUGAGUUAUCUGAUUGUGAUUGAGCAAAACCUUGAGAGAGGAUGAAACUGGAUAGUUUGUUGAACCAUUGCCUUGAGGCUUGUUUAAGGCCAUAAAUGGACUUAUUGAGCUUGCAUACAAGUUUAACACCAUUGGCCCCCUGCUGCUCAUACCCUGGAGGCAUGCGCAUAUACACCUCCUCUUCCAAAUCUCCAUGAAGAAAAGCAUUAUUCACAUCAAGUUGGAACAGAUACCAUUGCUGUGUUGAAGCUACUGCUAAAAGUGCUUUGACUGUGACCAACUUAGCCACGGGAGAGAAAGUAUCUUGAUAGUCCAACCCGGCUUGUUGUGUAAAGCCUUUGGCAACAAGUCGUGCUUUCUUUCUUUCUUCACUACCAUCUGCCUU